GAAAAGGACAACAAUGCUCAUUGUACUUAAAAAAAAAUGCCUGCAUGAUGCACUGUAAUAUGUGUGUGGUACAUGAAAAUAGGCUCAGCAGUGUGAUGCGCUGUAACAUGUACGAGGUACACGGAAAGAGGCUCAGCAGCGUGAUGCACUGUAAUAUGUGGGAGGUACACGGAAAGAGGCUCAGCAGCGUGAUGCACUGUAAUAUGUGCGAGGUACACGGAAAGAGGCUCAGCAGCGUGAUGCACUGUAAUAUGUGCGAGGUACACGGAAAGAGGCUCAGCAGCGUGAUGCACUGUAAUAUGUGCGAGGUACACGGAAAGAGGCUCAGCAGCGUGAUGCACUGUAAUAUGUGCGAGGUACACGGAAAGAGGCUCAGCAGCGUGAUGCACUGUAAUAUGUGCGAGGUACACGGAAAGAGGCUCAGCAGCGUGAUGCACUGUAAUAUGUGCGAGGUACACGGAAAGAGGCUCAGAAAUGUGACACACAGUAUUGUGUGGGA